rnacentral:rRNA from 1 species
UCCCAGACUCCUACGGGAGGCAGCAGUGAGGAAUAUUGGUCAAUGGGCGAGAGCCUGAACCAGCCAAGUCGCGUGAGGGAGUACUGCCCUAUGGGUUGUAAACCUCUUUUGUCGGGGAGCAAAAGCCGGACGUGUCCGGCUGUGAGAGUACCCGAAGAAAAAGCACCGGCUAACUCCGUGCCAGCAGCCGCGGUAAUACGUAGGGGGCAAGCGUUAUCCGGAUUUACUGGGUGUAAAGGGAGCGUAGACGGCAUAGCAAGUCUGAAGUGAAAGCCCGUGGCUCAACCGCGGAACUGCUUUGGAAACUGUUAAGCUGGAGUACUGGAGAGGCAAGCGGAAUUCCUAGUGUAGCGGUGAAAUGCGUAGAUAUUAGGAGGAACACCAGUGGCGAAGGCGGCUUGCUGGACAGAGACUGACGUUGAGGCUCGAAAGCGUGGGGAGCAAACAGGAUUAGAUACCCCUGUA